rnacentral:rRNA from 1 species
GACGAACGCUGGCGGCGUGCUUAACACAUGCAAGUCGAACGGAAAGGCCCUGCUUUUGUGGGGUGCUCGAGUGGCGAACGGGUGAGUAACACGUGAGUAACCUGCCCUUGACUUUGGGAUAACUUCAGGAAACUGGGGCUAAUACCGGAUAGGAGCUCCUGCUGCAUGGUGGGGGUUGGAAAGUUUCGGCGGUUGGGGAUGGACUCGCGGCUUAUCAGCUUGUUGGUGGGGUAGUGGCUUACCAAGGCUUUGACGGGUAGCCGGCCUGAGAGGGUGACCGGCCACAUUGGGACUGAGAUACGGCCCAGACUCCUACGGGAGGCAGCAGUGGGGAAUAUUGCACAAUGGGCGGAGGCCUGAUGCAGCAACGCCGCGUGCGGGAUGACGGCCUUCGGGUUGUAAACCGCUUUCGCCUGUGACGAAGCGUGAGUGACGGUAAUGGGUAAAGAAGCACCGGCUGACUACGUG